UGGCUCAGGAUGAACCCUUGCUACAGGCUUAACACAUGCAAGUCGAGGGGCAGCAUGGUCUUAGCUUGCUAAGGCCGAUGGCGACCGGCGCACGGGUGAGUAACACGUAUCCAACCUGCCGUCUACUCUUGGACAGCCUUCUGAAAGGAAGAUUAAUACAAGAUGGCAUCAUGAGUCCGCAUGUUCACAUGAUUAAAGGUAUUCCGGUAGACGAUGGGGAUGCGUUCCAUUAGAUAGUAGGCGGGGUAACGGCCCACCUAGUCUUCGAUGGAUAGGGGUUCUGAGAGGAAGGUCCCCCACAUUGGAACUGAGACACGGUCCAAACUCCUACGGGAGGCAGCAGUGAGGAAUAUUGGUCAAUGGGCGAGAGCCUGAACCAGCCAAGUAGCGUGAAGGACGACUGCCCUAUGGGUUGUAAACUUCUUUUAUAAAGGAAUAAAGUCGGGUAUGGAUACCCGUUUGCAUGUACUUUAUGAAUAAGGAUCGGCUAACUCCGUGCCAGCAGCCGCGGUAAUACGGAGGAUCCGAGCGUUAUCCGGAUUUAUUGGGUUUAAAGGGAGCGUAGAUGGAUGUUUAAGUCAGUUGUGAAAGUUUGCGGCUCAACCGUAAAAUUGCAGUUGAUACUGGAUAUCUUGAGUGCAGUUGAGGCAGGCGGAAUUCGUGGUGUAGCGGUGAAAUGCUUAGAUAUCACGAAGAACUCCGAUUGCGAAGGCAGCCUGCUAAGCUGCAACUGACAUUGAGGCUCGAAAGUGUGGGUAUCAAACAGGAUUAGAUACCCUGGUAGUCCACACGGUAAACGAUGAAUACUCGCUGUUUGCGAUAUACUGCAAGCGGCCAAGCGAAAGCGUUAAGUAUUCCACCUGGGGAGUACGCCGGCAACGGUGAAACUCAAAGGAAUUGACGGGGGCCCGCACAAGCGGAGGAACAUGUGGUUUAAUUCGAUGAUACGCGAGGAACCUUACCCGGGCUUAAAUUGCAGAUGAAUUACGGUGAAAGCCGUAAGCCGCAAGGCAUCUGUGAAGGUGCUGCAUGGUUGUCGUCAGCUCGUGCCGUGAGGUGUCGGCUUAAGUGCCAUAACGAGCGCAACCCUUGUUGUCAGUUACUAACAGGUUCCGCUGAGGACUCUGACAAGACUGCCAUCGUAAGAUGUGAGGAAGGUGGGGAUGACGUCAAAUCAGCACGGCCCUUACGUCCGGGGCUACACACGUGUUACAAUGGGGGGUACAGAGGGCCGCUACCACGCGAGUGGAUGCCAAUCCCCAAAACCUCUCUCAGUUCGGACUGGAGUCUGCAACCCGACUCCACGAAGCUGGAUUCGCUAGUAAUCGCGCAUCAGCCACGGCGCGGUGAAUACGUUCCCGGGCCUUGUACACACCGCCCGUCAAGCCAUGGGAGCCGGGGGUACCUGAAGUGCGUAAAGGCGAGGAGCGCCCUAGGGUAAAACUGGUGACUGGG
rnacentral:rRNA from 1 species